AUUGAACGCUGGCGGCAGGCCUAACACAUGCAAGUCGAGCGGAUGAAGGGAGCUUGCUCCUGGAUUCAGCGGCGGACGGGUGAGUAAUGCCUAGGAAUCUGCCUGGUAGUGGGGGAUAACGUCCGGAAACGGGCGCUAAUACCGCAUACGUCCUGAGGGAGAAAGUGGGGGAUCUUCGGACCUCACGCUAUCAGAUGAGCCUAGGUCGGAUUAGCUAGUUGGUGGGGUAAAGGCCUACCAAGGCGACGAUCCGUAACUGGUCUGAGAGGAUGAUCAGUCACACUGGAACUGAGCCACGGUCCAGACUCCUUCGGGAGGCAGCAGUGGGGAAUAUUGGACAAUGGGCGAAAGCCUGAUCCAGCCAUGCCGCGUGUGUGAAGAAGGUCUUCGGAUUGUAAAGCACUUUAAGUUGGGAGGAAGGGCAGUAAGUUAAUACCUUGCUGUUUUGACGUUACCAACAGAAUAAGCACCGGCUAACUUCGUG
rnacentral:rRNA from 1 species